UUUUUUUUUUUUUUUUGCUAACUGUGAUAGGGAACUUUGAUAAUUGGUUUCAAAGAGGCAAGCACAAGAUAAUUCAUAAAUCAAGGGAGAUAAUCAAGCAUCAUAACUUAGUUCAUCAAACCAUUCAACAGAAACUUUGCCAAGUACAUAAAAUCAUUGACAAGCCAUACAAUGCAAGGAUCAGAUCUACAUCUCCAUAUGUCUUGAUUACAAAAUGAAAUCUUGUAUUCUCAUAAUAAUGAUAGCUGAAACUCUGUAUUUGACAUAGAAAAAAACGGAACAAUUAAUCUGAUCGUAGAUCCUCAAUUUCGUAGUUAGCAGGGGAGGGAGGGGGAAACUAUUUGGUACAGCCGUACAUGGGGUUCUGAAUUAUUUAUAUCUUUUUUCUUUUUUGGAUGCCUUAUGUAGCGUGAAGUUGUUGACUUUCUACUCAUAAGUUUCAUCUCAACCAAAAACUUCAUGUAAUUACCAAUAACCUUACCAAACCCCAUUGAUAACGCAGCUCCACCAGCUACAAGUCAAUUGUACCACAAUAUUACGAUAAAUAAAAUUACUUAAUGAAUGUCUAAUAUUCAAACAGGGCAUUUGGUCUAGUGGUAUGAUUCUCGCUUUGGGUGCGAGAGGUCCCGAGUUCGAUUCUCGGAAUGCCCCCUACUUUUUCUGUCAUUUUCAAACGUAAACUUCCAAACUCCAUUCAUGAGAUCUCAAUACUUUCAUAGUUCAGGCUAAGUAAUACGUAGUGAAGAACCUAAUAAAAGAAGAAGUUCUACUUCUUCUUUUUUCUUGGAUGCCUUUUGUGGCAUGAGGUCGUUGACUUUCUAUUCAUAAGUUUCAUUUCAACCAAAUUACUUUUGUAUUCUACCAUUAAGCUUUCCAACCGCCAUUGCAGAAACAGAUCCACCAGCUACACAUUUGUCAAUUGUACCAGGGCCCGGCAUCAAUAGUUUUAAUAACAAUAACAGAUAUUAAAUGAAGUUAUAACAAACUUCUUUCAUUAUUCAUAAGAUCUCUAUACUUUAUAGUUCAAGAUAAGAAUGAAGUGAACCUAAAAAAAAGGAAUUGACUACAAGUAAAACAAGUGAUGGAGGAUGGAUGUCUGAAUAAUUAACGGAAUUUAUCAUGUAUACUUGCAUAUUUCACAUCAAAAUAUUUAGACAACCACAAGAUAAUCCAUAAAUCAAGUUGCUUUUGAAUGGUUGAUGAAACAAGUCAUUGGUAUACAAUUCUACCAAAGAAAAAAGAAAAAAGAAAAAAGUAAAAAGGGGUCAUUAAUGUGUAGAUAGCACAAAAUCAGAUCUAAAUUUCAACUAGUCUUAAUUAAAAAUUGAAAUCUUGUAUCUGAUAAAGAAAAAGAAAAAGGACAUUUGAACUAGUCUACGGAUAUACUCCCAAUUUGGGAUGAGACGUCUGAGUUCAAUUCUUAGAAUGUCUUAUGUGGCACAUGCUCAUUGACUUUCAGUAUAUAAUUUUUAUUUUAAAACUACGUCGAUCAUGCCAUGGAUUCAGCCAUUAUUUGGAUUACAAUAAAAAAAAUUAAAUAAAAUCAAUAUUCUCAAGCAGGAACUUUUAAAGGAUCUCUAUAUAUUUUAUGAAUCAUAAGAUCUUUAUAUUAAGUCAGAGAAGAAAGCAAAUAGACACCCUAGAUAGAAGACCAGGACUCUAUAUACAUAAAUACCAAAGAAAGGAAAUGUAAGAUCUUUUAACGAAGUCCAAGAGAAGAAUGUUAAGCUGAAUUAAAAAAAAGACGAACUAAAUAGAAAACAAGAAGUGUAAAUGCAUAGAUACCAAAUUAUGGAGGAUGAGUGCAAAUAAGUAGUUGGCCAGAAUUCCAGGUGGAAGCUCAUCUAUCAUGUACACUACAUAUUUUAGAUAAUCAAAUUUGAUAGUUAGUUUCAUAAUAAUGAACACAAAAAAAUAAAAAAUCAAGGGAGGUAGCAUGUAACCAACCUCAUUUCAUCAACCACUCAAAAGCAACUUUGUUAUAUGUACACUAAGUCAUUGAUGUGUGUAUGCCCAAAGAUCGACCAACCACUGCAGAAAUUGCAAACCCAUCUACUAAACAUUAGCCAAUUGCCUCGAAGAUCCAACAUCAAGAUGAUGUAACUUAAAUUACAAAAAAAAAUAAAGUUUAAUGAUAUGGUUCACUUUUGGUGUGAGUGAGAAACUACAAAAGUAUAUCAAAUUUGUAUUCCAUGGUUAUAUAAGGAGGCAUGCUAUUUUUUAAUCCACAUCCAAUGAUUAUUAACAGUCUUAUUGGAUAACCUUUCUAAUUUCUUAACAUUCAGUCUAAAUGAUUUCCAUCUGUCUUUAUACUUGUGGUUUGCUUUCUCUUCUUUCUUUUUCAGUAAUCUUUUUCUUUAAGAGAAGAUCCUCUUGCUCUCUAAAUGCGUGGGGGCACUAAUUUCCUAUUACAAAAACACUCCUUGGUGUGAAAGAAUAUAAGGGUUGGUUUAGCACAUGUUUUUCCAGGAGAAAUAAGAAAAUAAUUCUACUCAUCUCCGAUUCAUCCUAGAUCAUUACCUUUUUAGAGUAUAGUCAAAGCCUAAAAGAGUAAUGAUCUUUGUGCCAUAGGAUUAUUGUUAGCAGAUAUGACCCUCAUUCCUUUGAAUGGUUGUCUAAAAGGGUUAAAGGUAAAUUCAGGAAUUUGGUAAAGACAUUUCUCUAGAGUCCCUUCCUUCUCCUUUCAUGUUCUUUGUGUCGUAGAGGAAGGCACAAAUACUUACUUCUGGGAGAGCAGUGGGUAGAUGUUAAACCCCUCUCUGUUCUACGUUUCCUCAUUUGCAUCAUCUUUCUUAGAAGAAUAGGCAUCAAAGAAGUAGGUGCCACCUUGUAGUUGUAACUGGCUUUAAAGGUAGCCCACCACGUAUUAUUUGACUAAAUUGGACACAUCUUGUGCACCACAUGAAAGUUCAACAAACUAGAAUUAGAAACAUUCCUUAAAAUGUCUUUCACCAAGGUGUAUGAAGUAUGAACAUGAGUCACAUCUGCCAGAAAUACUACUUACAGUUAAUUCAACGUAAGCAACCCAGACUUUAACAUUCAACUCAUCCAAGCAAAGAACAAUUUAGGAAGAAAGCUGAAACAACAAGAUACUUGAAAGAGGAAGAGAAAACUGGAAAGCACAACCAUUUGUUUCUGAACAAUCUUGAUAAGAGACUCAAAAUAUAGAUGUUUUUUCUUUUAAAACAAAAUACACUAUUUCAGUAUAGAAACGGCCAGCUUAAAGAAUACCAUAAAAAGAAGGCACCUUACAAAAGAAAUCCAAAAUUAGCUAUUAAAGAAAAGGGUUCUAAUAGUUAAUAGACGUAGGGUAAUCACAAUAAUGGUUUGAAAGAGAAGGAUAAUACAACUCUUGCUCAAGGGGUUAGAGAAUCCAAGUUCAAUGCUUGGAACACCAUAACAAUUUUGUUACAAUUGUUUCUUCUUGAACUACAGUUUAAAGACUGAGUCACAGUGAACAACAUGUACAACAAACAAAGCUGGACCAACAACUAAGCUGAAUGGAAGCCAAAACUCUACAAUCAGAAACACAAAGCUAUAUAGAGUAUAAACCACUGACUGCCACACUCAUCCUGAAGCUAAAUUUAAACAAAUAUAGCAACUCGAGAGAAUAAAGAGAAGCUAAGCAACUUCACCUGGCUAUUUUUGAUCCGAAUCCUUGAGACAUCACAUCACUAGUUGAAGCUUGCAUUGGUUAUCUGAAAAUAUAUUAAAAGUGCUUCACUUUCUUCUAUGAGCUUACAAUUAUUCGGAAACAUUUUCCAUCAUUUUCUCGACAACCAAACAGCCCGGAGAUAAUUGUGGUGUACGGAUAAAGCUUAAGAGCACCAUCUUGGUUACCGUGCUAUAUUCGUGGGCCUUUCAAUAUCUCAGGCCCAAUUUUAUGCCUUACUAAAUGUCACAUUCCGCCGGCCCAACCUAAAGUAACCAAUAUUGCAGCCACCAACCUCAAAUAAAUAAAUAAAUAAAUAUAUAUAUAUAUAAGAAUUUAGAAUAUAUUUAAAAUUAGAUAACAAUAAAUUUGUAUCUUUCAUAUAUUUUGUUAUAUUUUUAUAAUAUUUUUAAAAUUUUCUUAUAUAAUUAUUAUAUAAUUGAUACAUUUGCAACUAUCUAUCCAAAUUCUGAGAUUUUGAAUACUCAAAAUGUAGAUAAGAAAUAAUUUCUAUUUUCGAAAUUCAAAAUUUUUAGAAUUAUUGAUAGCUUUUUAUUGUAGAGUUUUUAUUAAAAAUAAAAAUAAAAAAAUUUGUCAAAAAGACCAAAUAUUUACCCUUCUUGUAAAAAUGAAUGACAAUGAAUUUCAAUUCGAUUUUUUAAAAAUAAUUAUUUAAACUCUAAAAAUUUCUACAUUUCUAUAGAAUUUUGAUUUUGUUAUUUUUCGAUUAAUUAUGUUAAUUUAGAAAAAAAAUUCAAUUUUAUGGUUCUUAUUACAGACAACUCUAUAGUUUCAUGCAUGAAGUGUCAUUUUCAACUCAAAACCUUCACUCCUAGAGAAAUUGAAUUUGAGAAAAAACUAUAUAAAAAGAAAAACUCAUUCAAACAUUUUCAUUAAAUUUUUCAUCAUAUCAUCUUUAUAAGCUUAGUUAACUUUACUGUUAUUUAAUAUAUAAUACAUAAACGGGGUUGGGUCAAUUAUGAGGGAGUUGGAGUUUCAAGGUUCGAUGAGUGGCCUCUUCAGUCACUUUGAUACUCACACAAAUGGAGGAAUUGGUUCGAGGGUGUUGCACUCUCACAUUGUAAUCUCCAUGAAACAACGAAGCAUCAACAAAACCUUCAUCAUCGGCUGUAAUUUCAAAGCUGGGAGAUUUCCAUUCACCCAAAAGCUUAUCCACAACAUCUCCUGCUGCUGUGUUCUUGAAAUUCAUAUCCACAAGCGGCAGAGUAGUGAAACCUACGGAUUCUGGGCCAGCAAAUGUGAUUAUCCCCUUCACUGCAGGAUGUGCAUACCCUUCUCUUAGAACUUCCUCGUAGUAUUGUGCCUGACAAGGGAAAAUUCCUAGUUUUGUUAGUUAUAUAUGUUAUGAUGAAAUGCCUGUAAGAAAUACAAUAGUACCUGAUUUGGAGUUUGGUGAACAAACACUUCUGUGAUCCAUAUGGGGUAGCCUGUUGAUCCUAGAAGGUCCAAAGCGGAUCUCAUGUAUGGCAGGUUGGGUGCAUCCGGGCCGAAGGUGCCCUGCAAGCCGAUUCCUGCUGGGAUGUUUUCGUUCCCGGGAUACGACAGGAUUUCGAGAAGUUUCUUUCUGAAGUCAGCUGGGGUUGCUGUAUUUUUGUAAUCGUGUUCCAUGAUAUUGUAUUCAUUCAUGAAAAGAAGUGUUUUGUUGUCAAGUUUAUGUGCUAUGUUGAAGUACUCUGCAGAGGCAUUUUCACCGAGUUUGUCCUCAAAGAAUCUGAAGUGCACGUUUUCGUUCACGACGUCCCAAUGGAUAAACUUUCCAGAAUAUCUCUUAACCACGGAGUUGAUUCUUCUAUCGGCUGCUUCCUUCAAAUCUUGAGGGGAGAGUGACUUGACCCAUUCUGGCUGGUAUUUUGGACUGUCCCAGAAAAUGUUGUGUCCUCUUACCGAAAUACCAUGUUGUUGGGAAAACUCAAGCAUUGCAUCAGGGACGGUAUAGUUCUCUUGGCCUUGUACGUUCUCAGUGCUAUACCACUUAAGUUCAUUGGUGAAAGUGGCAUAGGCAAAUCUUGAUGCAAACCACUGUUGGUAUUCUUUACUAAGGAGAAUGUGGUAGUUCAUUCCUGCCCCAAAUGGGAAGUUUGGUUUUUUCUGGUCAAUGAGGACUUUUGCACCUGCUAGUUUACUGUUGUCUGCUUGAGUUAUUUGCAACCUCACCUUGCUUUUCCUCACCUGCAAACUUGGUUCCAUCAUUUCAUAUACAUAUUACAUUCAAUAUUUGAAUUCUUUUGCUUUAUAUUACCUUGUUAAUGCUUUCAUCUUGGUGGGAUCGCCAUUGCUCCUUUGUAAACGGGUGUAGUGAGACAUUAUCAACCCAGAUUUCCACUUCUGUAUUUGUACUCUUAAAUAAAUAAAUGCAAAACAAAGUUAGUGAGAACGAAAUUAAGAGACUUGGCUGAAUGUUGCAACCUACUCAAAAGAAUUAGAACCAAACCAACCAUGCAGUGUCCUAGAUGAAACCAAGUUGGUAACAGCAAAAGUUACUCACCUCAAAAAUAAUCUCAGCUUGGCCUGUAAAAUUAGAGACGAUGCCACCUUUGAGCAAACUCCAGCAUCCAUGCUUGGCCAUGGUUUCACCACCAUGAAGAAUCUGACCCCCUUUACUAUUUCUGAAUACAACACCCACAGGUGCAUUUCCUUCACUUAAUCGAACCCAAGCUGGAAAUUUUGAAAUCUUUUGUGGAUCAACAAGUACCCACAAACUUAAGAUGAUCAUACAAAUUUGAACCAUAAAGAUAAAAGUAACGAACCUUCAAACUUAUACCAUUCGUUGAAAGUCUAACUUUAACAAGUUUAAAUGUAUAAUUACGAUUAAACCCUACUUUAGAGGCAAAAUUACCAAUUUACUCUAAAAAUAGACCAUUGAAAGAAAGUGAGAGUAAAAAGUUAAAACAUAGUAAAGAGUAAUUAGUGAAAAAAAGUAUAAUUAGAGACUAACGAUAAAGUAUUGAUGCAGAAAGGGCCGUCUAGUUGGUAAUCUUAAUUCUAUUUUAUGUUUUUAGAUUCACUGAAUUAAAAAAACAUAUACUUUCACAACCAAUUUAGAUUUUGUUUCUCAAAAACUGUUCUCAAGUUUUCUAAUCCAAUCAAUAAAAAAAAAAAAGAACUUAAAGGGAAAUGUUGGUGAGUAUUAAUAAUGAUUUAGAAAAGGGGGAGAUGAUCGUAAAGAAGAGGUACCGGAGAAAGUGUAGAGGUAAUGACGUUGGAGAUGAAGCAGUUGAUGAAAAGUAUCCCUUGGGGAAGUUCUGUUGUGAGCUACAAUGAAGGUAUUGAUGAGAUUCCCAUGCUUCAACCAUCCUUGCCUUAUUCUUCCUCCUCCAAACACUUUCCAACCUUCAAUCCCAUUGUUGAACUCUGGGUUCACUAUCAUCCCUCCCCCAUCAUGAACCCUUCUUGGCUUUCCCAAACACUGUUUUAUUUAUAUACUACCAUAUUACUCAUUUUAUCUUUGAACCUAUCCUAAACUAAACUAAUUGAUAUAUUGAAAAUCUUUAAGUUACACUACUUGCCUCAGUUGUGGCAGAAUAAUCAUAUGAGACACCUUGGAUGGUGAUGAUAAAUUUCCCUGCAUUAAUUUACAACACAACUUUUGUUAAUCAACUCAAAUUUAUGUAUAUUUUUAAUGUAGAGAUCAGUGAAAAAAAAAAACCUGAAAAUAUCAAAAUUAAAGGAAGCAAAAAGAAUCUGCAGAAAGCUUUGAAAAUGUUCAUAUCUUUCAGAUAUCAGAAAAAAGUUUUAAAAAAAACCCCAAAGAAAUCUUGAGAAGAAAAUAACUGAAGAACAACAAAGUUGCUUCUUUGUUAUUUUUUGUCACAUUCCUAAUGAACUAAUUCUCCAUGUGUUAUAUAUUUAUAGAACAAAAACUUGUAUGAAUUUUUGGAUUUCAUAAGCAUUUUUAUGGAAAGUAGUAGACUUUUUUUUAACCAUUACUGUCAUUUCUUUGCUCAUAUAUAUUUUUCUAAACUGUUUUAAGGUUACCAUUUUAAAAGAUUUUCUUAAUUUUUCUCCACUUGGUUUCCUUAAAUUGUAGUUUUGUCCAUUUACAUUUUGCAUGGUAAUUUCUAAUUAUAUAUAUAUAUAUAUGUUCAUUUGUACUGAAAAGGUUUAAUUUGUAUUAUAUAAUCAUAUGAAAAUCAGUUUUUGGUGCAAUAAUAUAGAUUUUAAAGGAAAUAGUAUAUAUAUAUUUGUCAUCCCAUGCUAUAUAAGAUAACUUUAUUUUCUAAUUUACUGAAAUUUAUACUUCAAUUAUCAAUGUUGAAAACUAAUUAUAACCUUUUUGGAAAAUUAAUUAUCAAUAUUGAUUGUGUGUACUCCAACUAAGAUGUUUCGUGAUAAAAUUAAAACAUAUUUUUUUAAUUCAAUAAUUACAAUAGACCGUAUGAGAUCAAACUAUUUUAGAUGAUAAUUUACAAAUUAUGGCUAAAUUGUAAGGAAAUUUGGAGAUGAGUUACGUAAGGACGACAUGAAGGUUAGUAUACGUUCUAGUUUACUCCAUUCUAUAAUACAUUAAAUUCGUGUGACAUGUUAGAUGUUUAUCAUAUUCUUUCCACGUAUUUAUAGAGAUUCAGUACGACAUGUUAGAUACCCAUUAACAUUUCAAUUAUAUUAAAAAAAAAUCAUAAGACAUAUAUAUAUAUAUAAAAGAAAAUCAACAAAUACUUUUUUUUUCAUUUUAUUGAUAUUACCAUAAUUGUGAUCUUGAAAAUUUCCAUCUAAUAUUUUAAAUCCUGAUCUUAUCUUAAUUAUUCAAGGAUGUGCCUUAAGUAAUAAUUUAAUUGAGACAAAUAUAUAUUAAGUAUUUUGUUACUUAAAAUCUAUUAUGUUCAGUGAUUUUAAUUAAUUAUCCUCCGAACCUUUUCAUUAAAUGAUUAAUUAUUAAAUAUAUAUUAAAACAGAAAGAUAUCAUAAUAAUCCAAUUAACAAUACACAUAAUAAUGAAAUGAUUAUCUCUAGAAAAAAAUAGUCUUAAUAUGGAUGGAUUCUUUUUAGGGAUAAUAUAUAUUGCAUGGAUUAACUAUACAAAACCCACCACAAAAAUUAAUUAAUUAUUUUCUAUUUUCUUGACACAAUAUAAAAUUAAUAUCACGUUCAUAUGUCAAAAAAACAUUUUUUUAAAAGAUCUUUCAGAAUUAUUAUAUGUAAAUUAUAGAAGGAAAAAAAAAACUUGACAUUUUUUUAUAAUCCGUGGUUAUUAUAGUAGGCAAGAUAUUAUAGUGUGCGAUGUAUAAUUAAUAGAGGAUGAGAUAUAAUGGUUUGUAUUUAGGUACACACUAUUUUACGUUAGAGAAAAAAAUAUCAUAAUAAAGAGAGGGAGGGAGGGAGGAUUAAGGAAAAUAAUGAGUUACAUGGUAAUAACGAGAGAUUUUAAAUAGUGUUCACUAUAGUAUAAUUUCUGCGACUAUUUCAACGCUUUCCUAAAGAAACAUUUGAAUUCUCGUUCAUAAUUUAAAAUAAAAAAAUGGAUUAGUUUUCACUUGUUCUUUAAAAUCUCAAUAGAAAAAUAAAAAUAAAAAUAAACAACAGCACAUAACAUAAAAACUUAUCAGUGAAAGAAAGAAUAGGUUUUAAAAAUCAAAAGAACCAAAAACAUGGAUUACCAAACCAACCUAUAAUUAGUUUUUUUAGAUUUUGAAAUAUUAACAUGGAUAAAAAUAUUGUUUUUAUCAUUUUUACUCCUACAAUAUAAAGUAAUUCUUUUAGCAUAUUGAGUAUAACAAAACAAGAUAAAAAUAAAUAAAUAAUAAAAAUCAAGAGGUCAUCUCAAUGAGAUUAUGGUCUCAAUACUUAUGCUAAUUUAAAGUUUAGUCAUUGUCUCAUUGAUCAACAAAUUAUUGUUUUGACAGAAAAAGUACUUGGUACACUAUAAGUUUUUAAACCCUUUCUGAUAUAUGUAUCUGAUGAACAAAAUAGUUAUAUGGAGUAGGUGCAAAUAUAUAUAUGUAUAGUGAAAGUUAAAAGAUGGGGUUUGGGUUGUAAUUGGAUUAAUGGGAGAUCAGAAAGAGACAUGCAUUAACCAUUAAUUGAAUGUUAGAGGGAAGAUAUAGGUGAGGGUGACAUCCAACUCAAAGCACUAUAUCAGAUGACUCCAAAACCAAACUUAUUUUUUGGUUGGAAAAGUUAGUACAAACUACAAAGGGUCAUUAGUUAUUUGAGAGUGAGUGAUCAGUGGUGUGAAGGAAUCAAUAUUAUUCCAAUAACUAUUUUUUUCUAUAGCAAAUUUAUUUUAAUAGCUAAUAAUAUAAUGUAUAUUACAUGAGUAUGACAUAUUGUUUCCAACUUAUUCUUUAUUUUGAACAAUGACACUUGGUAUCAUUCUUGUAUUUAUGUGUAAGGUAUAAUGAACAACAAAACAGGCAUGUAAAACCCCCAUGUGCUUUGGAAAUGUAAGUAGGCCAACAACACUUACCUUUUGUAUCUUCUAAAUACGUGGAAUCUCUUUUGGAGCUAUGGGUUGGAUGGUUGACAAAGCUCGAGGAGGAGGAGGAGGAGAAUCUUUUCUAGGCCAUUAAGAUUCUAUGACAUCCUUAAAACUAUUGAAUUGGAACAAAAAAAAAGAAAGAAAGAAAGAAAAAGAAGAGUAAGAAGUAAGGCUUGCACCUAGGUUUGGAGGUUAGCUAAUAGUGUAUUGAUACUACAGGGACUCGAGCCAUUUGAUGCGUGUGGUGAGGGAUUAUAACUCUUAUGGAUCUCUGAUUAGCGUUGGUUCUAAGAAAUAUAUCCAGAAGUGAUCUAUUAGGUCAUUAGAAGAUCAAGUUAUUAUCAAAGCCUAACUUUUUCUUUGCUAGUGAUAUCCUAAUUAGGGUUGAAUUUGAUGGUAGGGAGAUGAUCAAUGUUACUACCAAUUGUCUCUAUGACCUUAUUGAAGUAAAGGAGUCUAUCUACUUUUCAUAAAAGAUAGUUCAUAUGUAAAAGUGAUAAUUAUAAACUCAAUUUUCAAAAGUUACUUAAAAUAAUUUACUUAUUUGUUCUUGUUUGGCACUUGUCAAUGCAUAUAACGUUCAUUCAAUAGAAAAUUAGAAAACCUUCUUCUUUUAUGUAUUGCUCUACACAUACUCUCACUAAAUUUUUCCUUUACACAUAGAUAUCACCCACCUACUCAUCUCCACUAGUUUCUUUUAUAUGUACAUUUAUGCCUCCACUCUCUAAUUGGUAUCUCUACUCACACUCACUAAUAAAUUCUCUCACUUUCAUCGAGCUCUUUUUUUGUUGAAACAAGGUAGAUUUCCAUUUAUAUAAGAACAUGACAAUUUCCAUUGUUAUUAAACCAUACUCAUUUCAUCGAAACAAGGUAGAUUUUAUGCACUCCUUACCUAUAAAUACACUAGAAAAAGAGUGAUUGUGAUUGACUUCUUGAUUUCCACAAAAAUAUUUGAUAUACUUUUUUGUAUAAAACAUUCAAACCUAUAUUACAUUACAGAGAUCAAAAGGGGGAAAAAAGCAAAAGAAAAUUAUGUAUCCUCACAAACCUUCAAUCCUAUCUGUAUGCAGAACAAGAAGUGACCAAAGACGAAGCAAAUUAGAUGUGACAGACAAAUAAGCCUAGACAAAGCUUUUAGUUAAGUGGAUUUUCUCUAAAACCAAAACUUAGGUUGUUAAAAGCCCCCUUUUCUCGUAAAGCUUUGAGCUAAGCCUGGAGGAAGCCUUUCUGCUCUAGGUAACUCAGUACUUUCUCUGCCAUCUCAGAUGGUGAACCUCCAGUGUGUUUCAAGACUAUCUGAAACCCAAAAAGUUCAAAAGGGUCUCCCAAUCAGAUUCAAUACACAAUGUCUCAUUCAUAAAACAACCAGUUAUUUUCGUAAGAGUUCUUCUCGGUAUUUAACUAACUAUCAGCAUAUGUUGCAAAAAGAUUUACACUCUGUAGUAUAAGCAUUAAUCUUUUAAAGAGAUGUUAUCAUUUCCUUCAGGAUUUGGAAUUACCUCACAAUUAAAUGGUACUUCGUACGGAUCAUCGAUACCGGUAAAGCCUGCAAAAAAGUGAUAUUGCUUAGUUGAUAAAUGAAAAUUAAUAAUUCUGAGCAUAAUUAACUUAAUUUUAUUUGAUUAUGUCUUUUAGUUGAAAUUUAGGUUGUGAAAAUAAGGGGCCAAAAUAAGGUUAAAAGUAAUACUCAAAUCACACUACAAAACAAGUGAGAAUUAAUAAGAUCAUCAAGUAAAUCUAAGGAAAAUGAUAACAAGUUGCAGUGACCUUUGAUCUUCCCUGCCCGUGCAAGCUUAUAUAGUCCUUUGGCAUCUCUUGCUUCACAAACUUCAAGAGGAACAUCCAUGAACACCUAUAUAUUUUUAGCAAAUUUUUGUAAUAUAUAUUUCAGAUGCAAGGUAAGAAACCAGCUCAAAAUCUAUAGUACGCAAAAUGAAGAGAUACCUCAAUAAAGUAUCCAUUAGGCAAAAUGUCACGACAGGCAUCUCGUUCCCUUCGAUAUGGGGAUAUCAAACUAGCAAUGCAAAUAACUCCAGCGUCUGCAAACAGUUUUGCAACCUCACCUAAUUUAUGGAAGAGGUAUACUAAUUAGCAAUCCUUAACAGAACAGCAAAGAGAGUUAUUAUAAAUGAUAAUGAACCAAACUUACCAACCCUCCUUAUAUUCUCAGCACGAUCUUCUGCUUUAAAACCAAGGUCACGAUUCAAGCCAUGCCUCACAUUGUCCCCAUCAAGGAUAUAAGCUAACUUCCCCAUUUUGUAUAAGCUUUGACUCAAGGCACAGGCCACAGUGCUCUUCCCUGCAAAUUAGCUAAGCAUACUUAAAAAAAUUGGGCCAGUCUAUAAAGUCCCAAACCCAACUUAAAUAUUUCAGGCCAAAUUCUUUUAUAUCCUUUUCACGAAAUCUUUUAAAAGAAUGACCUCAAAAAUCAAAAUCAAAUGUUCCAUUGUUGGGUUUGGUCUACAAUCCAAACUGUAGGUUUCAUUUGAGGACAAUCUAAACUAUGGGUUCUCUAAACCAUGAUUAUUACAUAAUAAGUCAAAAACCAUUAAGCUGUAAAAGCAAAAGACAAAAGGUUCAAUGACAAACCUGAGCCACUGAGACCUGUGAACCAUAUCACGCAUCCUUUCUGUUUGAGAAGGCUCUGUUUUUCAUUCUUUCCAACUGAACAUUCAUGCCACUUGAUAUUAGUAGAAUUUCCUACCGUGGAUAACACUCCAUGAUUUUUUCCUGAUUGAAAAGCAUCUUAGUAAUCUGAACAGCUUAAACUACAGAAGAUAAACUCAUACCAUGAUGAAGAAAAAUUGGAUAUCACAUUAUAAAUUUAUGCCAACAUGGCAAAAAUUCAAACAUUGUGCAAUAAAAUCAGCAUUCCAACAAAUCAAAGCGUUCAACAUCACAUUGUAAAUGUGUAGAAAAAUACUGAAAAUGUCAAUGAAAAUAUAACUAAUAUCUACAUAAAUACUAACAAUAAGGUUCUUGCUUUUCCAAUUAUCUUAUUUCCACUAUCUAAUGAAUCAAACAAGACGAUCAAAACACCAGAAAUUUCAAUGAGAUGAUUCAAAGAGAAGUUCCCAUAUCUCACUAUACAUUAAAAAAUUCAAGAACUAAAAAUAACAGAUAUUCCGAUUCAACCAAAAUUAAAGUCCCCGAAUCAAGAUUCAAGAUUAUAUCAUCAAGAAACAUCAAAAUUGAAGCAAUACCCGAGUUCCCAGCACGUCCAUUGCCCAAGGCAGUAUCAAAGUCAGUCUCACAUUCACUCUUACCCAAACCAUCGACCUUCCCAUUAGCAAUCACCACCCUCGAACCCUUCUUCUCAACUUCAUCCCGCAAAACCACCGACGAUCUGAAGCUAAUCCUGUCGGGAAACCUAGCGAACCCAAUCGCCGACGUCGGAGAUGAUUGGUGGUGAAGCAACGGCGGUAUAGAACCCGGCAACGAAAUUCCUCCAAUCGAAACCAUAUCUCACACACAUCUCAAAAGGAAAACACCAUUUACUGAAAAAUAAAUAGAAAAAACUAAAAAAGAAAUGGAGAGAUGAAAUCAAGAGGAAAUGAGAUGCCAUAAUUGGUCGAAUGGCGGAGAGCCUCUCACGUUCUUGUCCGCCAUAAUAAUUAAUGACCGGUGGAAAACAAAAAAAAAAAAAGAGAGAAAAAAAAAUAAGAAGAAGAAGAAAAACAAGAAUCACGAGCCCUUUUCGCGAUGAGUCCUUGUUUAGAACCUUUCACUUAGAUUCUUCUUCUUCCCUGAAAUUUAUGUACCGUAGAAGAAGAAUGCGGAGCCGGAGCCGAAGCCUGCGGAACAGCGAGCCGUCCGGAGAAGAAGAAGAAGAAGUGAAAAACGACUCCGUUUAAAGUCCGACGAAAGCCAACGCAUUAAAAUGGGUGCGAGUUGUCUAGACACGACGUGAAGUUUUAAAAUUAUUAAAUAAUUAAAAUCGUAUAAUAUAAUCUAAAUAAAAACUUUAUGAUUAUUUAGGAAUAUACCAACUUCAUGUUUAAUUGAAGAGUACAAAAACAGAAAAAAAAAAACGAUAAUAAAGUCCAUGUCCCUUACAUUUUUUAAGGUAGAAAUAGUAAAUUUACAAUUAGAUUAGAAUCAUAUUAUCCUUUGAUUAUUAUCUUAUUAGGUCAUAUUUAUUAAAUUUACUAUUUUUUCUAAAUUUUUUUGACACCAAGUUUCUAUUUAAUUUGAAGUUUAAGGUAUGGGAGAGUUCUAUAUUAUGGUAAAAAUUCUAUUUUGGUACGUGUUAGUUUGUCUAUCAUUUUUAUACUUAUUGUUAUAAUAAAAUAAACCUAUUUUAGUUGUGGUUAUUUUAAAUUUUGUGGAUGUUGUGGUGUAUAUAAUUUUUAAGCUAUUGUUUUAGUUUAAAUUCUACUCAUCUAUUUUUAUUUUAAUUUGGACCACUUGUUAGGGGUACGAAUACACUUUUUUUUUAUAGAUAUGUUCGAAUAUAAGAGUAGGACUUUAUUUUUUUAAAUUGAAUCAGAUGCUAACAAAAUUUUAAAAAAAAAAUCGUUCAUAACACAUUUUUUUAACAUAUUACAAAUGUGACAAGUAAUUAGAGAUGUUAAAGAGCUAUCAAAGGCUAUCAGAGAACUAUUCGAUUUUAAAUUUGCUAUUUUUACAAUUUAGAAAAUUUAGUGACAUUAACUCUGUUAUCAUAGAUUUUUUUGCUAUUUUUGCAAAACUCAUUUACUUUUAUACUUAAAUAAAAAUAUUUAGAUCUUGUGUAAUAAUUCAACCUUUUCUUCUUCUUAUGUUCUAUUUAAAUCUUCAAGAAAAGAAUUAUCAUUCACUAUCUUAAAUGAAAAUAAAACUAGGAAAACUUUUAUAUGUAGCAAAAUGAAUCCAUCAAAUAAAAGAAAACAUAAACAUAUUAAGAGAAAAUGGGAAAAGGGAAGAGAAAAAUAAAGGGAAGGAAUAUAAGAAAUGAGAAAAAGGAAAAUGGAAAAAAAAAAGUUAUUUUAGUUAAAAAAUUAAAAUAAAAUUGGGAUUUUUUUAAAAUAGCAAAAUAAAUUAAAAUAUUUACAAUAAAAUUUUAGAUUAUUGUCUAUACAUGUCAUUGAUAUAAGUAUAUCAGUGACUAUCAAUGUCUAUUAUUGAUAAAUCUGAAAAAAAAGUAUAUGUUGUAAAUAUUUUAUCAAAUUUGUUGUUUUUUUUACAAUUCUCCACGAUGUCGAGAAAAUGAAGUGGUAUAAUGGUAUUCAGUGUAGUUUUUUUUUAAAAAAACUAACUUAGAUAAUAUGAAUUUUUUAAACGAACCAUGUGCAUCGUUUUAAAAAUUUUAAAAAUAUGAUUUAACGUUCGCUUUGGAAUAAUGCAUGUUAUAUCAACUUUUUUCUAACAACUACUUUUACAAAUUUAUGGUUGUGAACUUGUGACGUCCCUAAUUAGUGUAAUAUAAGAGCUUAACAUGCACAAAUAAAAAAGUAAGUUAUGAAGCGUUUAUGAUUUUUUAUGACAUCUUGUAUGAAGUUGUAAGAUAGGUAGAGUUUAUCAUGAAACCAAAAGCAAAGUUUACGAGUAUAAUAAACGACUAAUAAUUUUAAAAGCACUUUUAUCCAUCAAAGUAUAUGAUUGAGAGUUGGAUGAAAGAUGGAAUUCCCCAACCUAUGAAACAACACCUUCCCCAAUUUGCAUUUCCAUGUUUCCUCACUAAAUUCAAUACCUUCAAAACUCCCGCCAUUAAUGGAGUUAUUCACAAUCACAAUUCCCCGAAUCCCCCAUAAAAAUUCCCCAAUUCACAGAACCCUAACUAAAAUCCACGCCUCAUCCUCAUCCAAAUCCCCUAAUUCACAAUUACCACUUCCAUCAAAAUUCGGGCGGCAAAAUGAAAACAACAUUCCGACGAUGGCAGAGAUUGUGGCAGCGGGGGAGGCCCAGAAUCUGAGCCUCCGUCUGCAAACAUUGGGGCCGUUUUUCCGAAUAACAGCGAAAAGCUUGGGAACGGAGAGAGAGAUCGGGAAGGCGGAAGGUUUGGUGAGAGUGUGGUUGGGAGGGAAGAUUCUUCAUCUUGAUUCGAUUCGAUUGAACAGAGAAAGCUUGGGAAUGGAGAAAUCCAUCUUUGGGCUUGGAUUGUUCAUCGGUGCUGUUGCGAUUCGGUAUGGGUAUGAUUGUGGUUGCAAAACGGCGGAGUUAUUGGCCAUUAAUGACUCCGAUCUUUACCAUUCCAAGGUUUUUUUUCUUCUUAUCUCUUUCAUUUUACUUUUUACAUCUUUCUGGAUAGAAUUUGAUUGAAGAAGGCCAUGCACAGUAAUUAACACACACACCACCACAUGGUCAAACGGCAAAAAAUUGCAUACAGUCCACUCAAGAUAAACUCUAAUUGAUUUUAUAAUAAGUUCAUGUGUGUGUUAACAACUUGUCUUUCAUGAUUGUGUAACAAUUGAAGUGGUAAAGCCUUAACUCUCGAAGAUAACAAUUGGGUGAUAGAUAGCCUGAUAGGAUGUCAGUUACUCUUUCUAUUUUUUCUAGUAGUUCAACAAUUACAUACGGGGAUGGCAAACAAUAAUCCUUACCAUUCUAGUUACAAAUUAAGCAAUUUUUUUAGGCGAGUUAAGGAGAAAUGUGUGAAAGUUAUUUUAAAAUAAAAACAAAACAAAGGUAAUGACAUUGAAGAUUGGACGCAGCUGGUUAGAUUCUACACAAGGAUUGGGUUCAAGAGUAUGUAUGAAGUGAGUGGUUCAAAGUUAAAAGACAUUGGAGACAUGCUGGUGUGGGGAGGGAUUGGGACUAGAAUGGAUGCUCCCAUUGACUCCCUUCUACUUAAAUGGUGCACAAGGUUUAAACCUCACUAGUUCCUUUUUUUCCUUUUCUUUUGUUAAUUUAUAAGUAAGAUGUAUGAUUUGUAUGCAUAGUUCACACUUAGGUUAAAGAUGAUAAUGUUAAUGUGUUAGUUGACCUUUUCGAUUUUACUCGUUUAUGAAACGAUUUUGUUAUUAUUGAUCUUAUUUUAAGAGACAUUCUUAAAAUAAUCGAUACAAUUGGUUUUUACAUGUUUGAUGUGGUAAACUAUGCCGCAUAUAUCUUCCAACUUUUACACGUUACUAUCUUGUUAAUUUUUAUAUUUUUUAAUGAAAAAAAUAUUUCAAAGGGUUUUUGUUUUCAAAAAAAGAAGUUGCGUGAGUAGAGUAACGAUAACAAUAUAACUUGAAUGUAACUCCAACGAGUGGAGAUGAUGGAUCCCUAAAAAUGGAAUGGGGGGAGUUGGAUCGAAAAUACAUCUCUUCCCACGGUAAUAACAAGGGUGAGGUGUGCACCUUGACCCCGCCUCACCCCUAACUAAUCAAGGAGGAACUUCUUUUAUUGAAGAACCAAUAAUACUUAAAAAAAGAUAGACCUAAUUACUAAGGUAAUCUAGAGGUUAAGCUGAACUUUUAAUCUAAAUUUAGGAUGUGUUUGGAUUUAAUUUUCAAGUGAUUUAAUUAAAAGAUAAGUUAUUUUGUAAAGAAAUUCAUGGCUUUGUUUUGACAACUAUCUAAAAUAGAAUUUGAAAAAAUCGGUUUAUAAAAUAUUGUGAUUUAGAAUAAACAUUUUAAACCAAUUUUUGAAAAAAAAGAAUUUUAUAUUUUCACUAAAUCUUAAAUUUAGUUUCUAAAACUAAAUUUUAUUGAAAUCAAUUAAAUAUAUAUUUUCACAAUUUAUUAACAAAAAAUGGUAGUGUACGAAUCAACCGUUCAUUUUGAGAUUGAUGCAAAGUAAAACUAAUAAACGUGCAUUAACCAAAAUAUUUCAUUUUUCUUCGUAAAAACUUAUAUUUUUAGUCCUAUGUCUUCUAAAAUUGUGAGUUUUAAAAUUAUACAUUUAUAAUUCUCAUUUGGUCCAAAGUUUUAAAAAUGUUUAUUAUUAAUCUAAUUUUUAAGAAAAUGGGUUUAAAACAAUUUUAUUUUAAAUUAGAAGAAUAAUUGGUAAAAAUCUAUCUCUAAACUUAUUUCUUUUAAAUUUUAAAUAUCAUAUAAUUAUUUUUAGAAAAAGCCAACUAAAUCAUUUUUUAGAAACAUGAGAUUAAAAAAUAUUUUUUUCAUCAAAAUAUUUGAAAACUAAGAAGAUAAUUUUUAAAGAGAUUUUUUUUUUUUUAAUAAGAAACAAUUUAUUUAAUUACAAAAAAAAAAGAGAGGAAAAAAGGGAGUGGAGAAGCUGCCAAGCAAUAGCCAAAUUGAGGAUUACGGUAAUGAUAUCACUUCUUCCCCUUCCCGCGAGACGAAGCCCUAACUUCCCUCUCUUUCCUUUUUCAUUCUCACAAUUACCUCAACGGCGCAAACCAAAUGUCACGUCGUGAAGCUCGGGAAUCCGAUUCCAAGCGCCACCGUUCCCGAUUCGAUAGAGAACCCAGGUACCCUCUUCUCUUUUUCUCUGAUUGCAUACCCUUGUCUCUAAGUUUGCUGACUUAUUACCACUUUGUUCAUUUUAAAUGGAUUGUUAUUGCGUUACCACUGCUGGAGUUUUGCUCCUGUAUAAUUUGUUGAUGAUGUUUGUUUUGAUGUCAUCGUAAUCGGGAUGGUUGAGCAGUGUUCAUUAAGUGAACAUUGUUUGAAAAGUAAAGUCGUUCAAUUUGACUGUCUGUUUGUUAUAUAGUUGGUUGGUGUGGUAUAUGUUUAAAUGGGUCUCGAGAAAUUAGCAAUUUUAUGAAGCUUUUGGUUUGGGAGGACGAAUAGUGAAUUGCUAAUUCCUUCUUUCAGCUCUUGGUUCACUGUUUUCUCACUAUUGUAUGAGAGUUUCUUUUUAGAUAUUUGUAAAUUUUAGCUAUAAAGAGUAUCCGUUCGUUGGUUCUUUUUGUAUGUCAGGACGAUAGUUCAUCUAGCGAGAAUGAAUCAACUCCUAUUUAUUCGGUCGCUUGUAGUGUUGAAGAUGAAUCUAAGCCACUAUGGAAAUAUGUCACCAAGGAUCACAAGUUGAGUGAUGGGGGUGUAAAUUUCUCUUGGCAAUGUAAGUUCUGUCAUGCAUUAAUGAAAAGUUCUUAUACAAGAGUUAGGGCUUACUUCUUAAAGAUAAGCGGUCAAGGAGUGAGAAUGUGCCCCUAAAGUCACUCUUAAAGAUGUUGCUGAUAUGCAAAGAUUGGAAGAUGAAGUGAAUGCACAAUUUGAAAGAAAAAUUGCUACAAUUGCUUCUUUACCACCUUCAACUGCAUGAUUUGGUGGCAUGAGUAGUUCUCCUUCUACAAGGGUCGUGGCAAAGAAAAGGAAGGAUAGUACAAGUGUACAUGAAAGAUCAUUUGACAAGGCAUUUCAUGACCAAUUAGAUUGACUUAUUGCUAGAAUGUUUUACUCUUCUGGUUUGCCUCUUCAUUUUGCAAAGAAUCCACAUUAUAUAACUUCCUUCACCUAUGCUGCAAAUAAUAUGUUUUUGGAAUAUGUGCCUCCUUAGUUAUGAUCUGUUGAGGUCAAGUCUUCUACAAAGUAAAAAGGAAAAUAUUGGGAGAUCAUUGCAAUCUGUAGAAAACACAUGGCGUGAGAAAGGUGUGAGUAUUAUAAGUGCUGGAUGGAGUGAAGAGAGACCUUCCAUUAAUUUUAUGGCUAUCACGAAAGGUUGAAAAGGUGAAGAUAACAAUAUUUAGACAUGAAAGAAAGCAUCAUGAAAAAUCAUCCUCUUUCUAUAAUGUGGUACACAAAAUUCUUGUGGAUCGUCGGAACAAAAGACCAAUACCCCACCUUAUUGUUUAGCUUAUUCCUUGAAUCUAGGUACUUUUUAGUAUGUCAUAUGUUUUUAUUCUUAUUCUAAGUGUAUUAUAGGAGUUGACAUAUACUCAACUUAUAUUUAGGUACUAUAGCCGCCAAGAAUGGCUUGUUCCAUAUAGAGAUUUGGAAGUAAAUAGUGGGGGAAUGAAAUGUCUCGAGAUAUUUUAGCACUGAGGUGGAUCAUGUGAAAAUGCUUACCGAACUUGCUAAUUUUUGUAUAAGUUCUGGAGAUCUUUUUUAUGCUGAUUCCUUACGCAAUAGGUAUCAUAUGGAUCCUGAACGUUGGUGGGUUCUCUAUGGUGGGCAGGGACCAAUCAUUCAAUCAUUAGCUUUAAAGCUUCUUGUGCAACCUGCCGUGAUAGCCAUAAAAUUACCGGAGAACAAUAUGGAUAUGACAGUGACUAUCAGGCAUAAUGAGAUGACACCACAACGUGCAAAAGAUUUGGUGUUUGUGCAUAGUAAGCUUCAUUAUUUGUCUAGAAGAAAUCCUUGUUAUUUGAAAGGAGAGACCAAGUUAUGGGAUAUUGCAGGAGAUUCAUUUGAUUCUUUUGAGGAUGUUGGCAUCCUUGAAGUAGCUAACUUGUCAUUGGAUGAACUGGAUUUGGAGGCUAUGGUUUUCACUGAUGUAAGUGAAGUUGUCUGGGGUGGUAAAGAUAAAGCUGUUUUAGAAGAUUGAGAUGGGAGCUUGGACUUUACGUGGAAAACUGAUUUUCGUUCUAAAUUAUUUGCUUUUUACUAUUUAGUGUGUACAACAAACUUUGUUGGACAUCUACUAUUGUCAACUAACUUGACCCUUUUUGUUUCAGUUAAACACAUUUUGUUUUUAUGCAGUUUGAGAUAUUGAAUAUAUCACAAUGUACACAUUUUAUUUAAAAAUGUGUCCUAGUGCAUCCAUGUUCUUUUUUUUUUCUUUUCUAAUUAACUUGUCAUUGUUUCAUAUUUUAUCUCAUGCCGUGUGUACGCUGUUGUCUGGGUCCAUGCUUCCUAAGUUGUAAGUUCUUAAGUGUAAAUGUAGACUUUAAUUUCUACUUGGGUGGUCACCGAUGAAAGCUCCUAAUGGACAUGCGAUUGACUGCUCUUACAUGUAAAAAGCAGUUGAUUGUUGAUGGAUGUAUGAUUGAAAACUGUACUUUGGCCAAUAAUUUCGAAUGCUCAUUUCUUUUGUAGUAUCUGUUUUUUAUUGUAUGACCAUCCAGAGAAGGGGAUCAGUGCAUUUUGAGAAAUAGGUUGCCUGCAUGGAUAUUUUUUUAGCUCCAAGUUUUGAAGAACAUGUAUUUUGAUUGCUGCUAAAGAAAUGGCUGGACAAUCGCUUUUGCAAUGCUCGGUCUCAUAGUUGCUCAUGUUUAUUCGUUAUAGUUUCAAAUUACUUCUGGUUAUUGAUGGCUACUCAGUAACAUAUGAUUGUUAUCAGCCCUGCAUUAUGCUAGUUCAAUUUAGUUCCGAAAUGGCCUAAACAAAUAUUAUCGGCCCUGCACUAUGCUACACUUUCCUACUUAGUCAAAAGCAAGGGCUGUCAAGAGCAUUACAUUACCUUAAUUGAAUAUUGUGACGAUAAGAUGACUCCAUUCUUUAUCUUCUAAUUGAAUCAAAAUAAUAUUUAAGAUAAAAUAAGUAAUCUAUGCAUUUAUUAUGUGGUGUUUAAUCAUGGAACUCUAAUAUGGCAUAAUAUGUGACUUAUUGUUACUAGUCCCAAGAGGUCAAAGAGGGACAGGAAAACAUUAGAGGAGAAGUUAUCUAGAAACUCUAGUUCUCAUGUUGAAGAUAAUAAAGAACGGGAUCAGAAACAUGAGCUACGUCUUGUGGGGCAAGACAUGAUACCCCAUGAGUCUUCAUUAGCACUUGAGUCCAAACCAGAAGGUGGAGCUGGCAUAGGAGCAAACAGGAACAGUGAUGGGAGGGAUGGAGGGACUAAACAUUCAGUGAAUCCCACUGAAGUGCCACGAUCAAGAUCUUAUUUUCAGGUUUUUUCUACAUUGAGGAAUUCUUCCAAUUAAUCUUGCUAUUUUCUUUCUUAUUUUGUUUUUGGAAACUAAUAUGAAUUUAGUUUGGGUUGUCCUUGUCCACUAUUUAUCCAAAAUUCAUGGCUUGAUCUCAAGAAUAUUGGCAGAAUCUUAAAGUCAUUAUUGAUAUGCUUUUUCAUUCUUUAAUCUGUCAUCUCAAUCCUAACUUAGUAUCAGUUUUUUUUUUUUACUUUUACUGUGUUUGAUAAAAAAUAAGGCUGGGAGCUUCAAAUGUUUUGUAGUUUUAUGUUCUAGCUGUAAUUGCAAUAUUCACAGCUUUUCAUAUGAACCAUCGAGUCCCUGCAAGAUAUGGGCAUAAAAAUUCUCUGACUGGGUCUACCUGGAGCUAGUGUUCUAUCCUUGCAGAUAUAAAUGAAUCUGUAAGGGGAUUUCCUUUGAAUUUCACUAAAUUUAUAGUCUACUUAAUAUUUCAUUUAGCGAUAUAGGAUACAAUACUAGGUAUGGACUUUAGUCAAUGUAUUCUUGAAAUGAAAUGAGGGAUUUUUUUUCUUUGAAGAGAUUGUUAAAGUAGGCAUCUCAGCCAGAGCAUUUUCUUUCAUGAUAAAAUGACUUAAUAUUGUUUAAGGCAUGCAAUUUCAGGUGGGUCGCCUCAGUGAGGUGCAAGGUAAGGUGCUCCAGCCACACACUCACUUUUUAAAAGUAUGUUGUGACAUGGUUUUAUGGCUUAUAAAGGACAUGUUUGUUGGGUCAAACAUAUAUUUUUAUUUUCUUUGAGAUCUUAAUUUAGAUAGCUGUGGAAUUUCAUCAUCAAUAUUGGUAAAUUAAAUUGCUCAGCUCAGUAAUAAUUCUCUCCACUUCUCUGCAUUUCUUGCUCCUCCCUUCUCCUUUUUCCAUUACUUGUUGCAAUUGAGAUUACCCAACAUUUUGCUGGGCUGAUGUAAUUGGAAUCUUGUUCAGCCCUGCCUUCGAGUGCAUCCGUGUAUAUAACUUCUUAGGCUUGCCUGUGCAUGUCUUAUAACAGCACGAUGAACGCAGUAAUGCCGGGCAAGUUGGUCGAAGCUUUGGUCGGAGUGCAACUAGUGGUGGGUUUCAUUACUUCCUUUUAAGCCAUAAUUCCAACUUUUUUUUUGAGUUCUCUUAUUUUUUCUCUUGUGCAACGCCGUGAGUAUAGAUAGCAGGUGCAUAAAGGAAAUGUUGUUUAGUCUACUCUUUGUAACAUUACUAAUCAUAGCUAUUAUGCAUGUAUUAUUAAAGUUAUUAUUAUUAUUAUUAUUUUGACUUUCAUAAAUAUUAUUCUAAAUAUUUGGAGCAACUAGUCGAUAUUAUAUUUUUGUUGCUUAAUGGGACCAAAUCUACUUUUGAAUAUUUUCUAAUUAGUGUUCUACCUAUGGCUAUGUAUUGGUGUAAAUGGCUUCCUCUCCUUAAUAAUUACAGUAUUGCGACUGUUUUGCAACUUCAUUUUGGGAUCUCCGAUGUAUCUCCAUCCUCUUUCAUAUUAUCAAUAAACUAUCUUUCUGAAAGAAAAAGAAACUAUUGUUUCUGUAGUAAAUGCAUGUGCCUGUUUGUUACCUAACAUUCAUGGAUCAUUGGUAAUGAAGGCAUUGACAUAUCAACAUGUCAACAUACAUUCUUCCAGAGGUCAUGUUCUUAUUUAGGAACAGUCUUGCAUGAGAAAAUUUAGAGUAUCUCUUCAACCUUUCCAUUCUUGAUUCUCUAACGAUUUUGUAUCUGGUUUUGCCUUAUUUUCCCCCCUUAGAGCGUGGUUGGUGGAAGGAUUCAAAGGAUCCAGAUAAGGAUAGUGAUAGAGCAUCUGGGAAGUCAUUAACUUAUAAGUCACAGCAAAGAGAUGAGAAACCACAAGCUGCGAGGGAGGAUAGGCACCAUGAUGGGUCCUCGAAACUGGAGGUUGAUGCACUCACUCCUGCUCGGAAAAGGCCUGCAUUUAGGGAGAAGAAGAUUACAGUAGACAAUGAAGAUGGUGAGAAAGUGGCAAUGGUACCAGAGAGUAAGAAAUCAAAUGAUCUGCACCAGAUUCAGGAGGGAAGGGAACGAAGAGAAGAAAGAGGCCGUGACCCCCGAUAUUCUGAAAAACUUAAUAAUAAGCAUUCCAAUGGAGAUAUGGCUUCCAAAAGGGAUGAAAUGAAGAGAGUCGGCUAUCCAGUGAGAGAAAGAUAUGGCAAUGGAAGUGGUGGUGGAAAUUACAGGGGAAGAGACAGAUUUGGUGGGAGGCAAGGAUAUCGAACCAGUGGUACCCGUGUAGAGAAAUGGAAGCAUGACCUGUUUCACGAGGCUAACCGGAGUCCAACCCCAAAGAAUGAAGAGGAUCAAAUUGCCAAGGUUGAAGCUCUUCUUUCUUCGUAGAUUGGAAUUAGGCAAUGAUGCCAUCUGAUUUUAUUGAGUCUUCAGUGAAUACGCAUUUGACAAAAAUAUUCUCCAGCCUAGUGCAUUUGAAAUGACGUAGCUUUUGUUAUGUUUUUCCAUGACAUCAUCUCCUUUUUGUUCUCUUGCUUCUUGUUUGGUACAUUUCAAUGUAAUUGAAUUGCCGUAUUCUACAACCCAAAUCAGUAAUUUUAUUAGAGCUUCAGUUGUCGAUUUUGAGUUCACUGUUAUUUCAUGUGCAAGGCUUAUUUCCAUCAGGCAGUUGGAAAACUACCUUGGAAAGAUAUUAUUAGGCUUGAAGAACACAAUUAUACAUCUUUUGACAGUUCACAUUAAUGCGUUCCAGUGAUGAUAAUUUGUGGCUAUUGCAUUUGGGAAGGUUCAAACAAUCAAAUAUUGUAGUGGCUGAUAGAGUUGGGAUGAAAGAAAAUUUUCCUUUUCUUAUUCUUUUUGAAAAGUACAAACUCAAAAAAAGAGGUUCACCAUAGGAUCACACACAUAAAGGGAUCCCAAACUUGGCUUAUACCGUUUUACUAUUAUUUUUUUCAUUCAAACUUCCGCUCCUAUCAUUUAUUUCAUUAUCAUAUAUUAUAUUAACAUUCAGAGAAUCCCACACAUUUGAUUGCGACGGCACACAGGAGGACAGUCUGCAUCAUUCCCAGCAUGGCUGUCCAAAAAUCAGGCAUAUUGCUCCAACCCCAAGUUCUCCAUCUUUUAACAUUUUUCUUGGGACAAAUACCAUGUUUGAAUCAACUCAGUUGCCCUCGUUCGAACUGAAGCCAUCACUUCACGAAUGAAGAUGGAGGUGGCCAUGAACAGCACACAGACUGCCAUUGCUAACACAAUGAGCUUCUUCCUCAUCAUCUCCAUUAUCACUUCUUUUAGUUGGUUUUGCACUUAUUUUUUCUUCGUAGUUCGUUCUUGUAGGACUGCAGUGUGCUAAUUCUCUUCCUUUUAUAUGGCGAGGUCAUUAACUAGGUCUUCGGUGUUGGCCAACCAUGUAAAUGUUUUUCACAUUUGGCCAAACCAUGUAAAUGUUUUUCACAUUUGUAUUUUUAGACGAGUCAAGUGGAAAAAUUAUUCCUAGGUUUGUGUUUGUUGAUGCACCAUUUUCUAUUAUUUGAGGAAUAAUGGUUCAUGAAUUUGGGAAGUUUUUGUCUUGUAUGUCAUUUGAGCACUCGAAAUAGAUCAUUUGUACAAAAUCUCCAUUUAAACAUUUGUUUUUCUCGUCAUAUGCUUCAACCUAGUUGGAGUAUCUCAAUUUGACAGCUCUAGUUUACAUGCCUCUCUCUUAAAACCAAUAAACUUUUUAAUAUUACAAACUUCAACCAUAGAUCCUAAAAUAAGAACGUCACAUGCAGAAAUCCCAAAACAUUUGUAAUAUUAAUCACAAGCAAAUACAACAUCCCAUAGAAAAAGAUAUUACCAUAGAAUCUCACACAUAAGAGAGAUCCCAAACUUGGCCUCAACCAUUUUAAUUAUUCUUAUUAUUUUUUCACAUCAUAAACACAGGGCUCCUCCAUUUUAUUCUUGAGGGACAUCAUCAUUACCAUACAUUAACUAACAAUCAAAGAAAGCCACAGUACCCAAUAUUUAGUAGUGGAACAGGUUUGCAAUAGCACCCAGAAGGACAAUCUGCAUCACUCAAGCAUGGCUUGCCUACAAGCAGACAUACUCCAAGCCUAGACCCUCCAUUUCUCAGCUUUAAUUUUCUUGGGGCAAAUAUCAUCUCCAAACCAGCUUUGUUGACCUCAUCGGAAUUGACUUCGGUCGCCUCAUCAAUGGUGAUGAUGUCUGUGGCUCUGACAGAAUUGGCUACGAGUAGCACGAACACCAUUGCUAACACGACGAGCGUCUUCUUGCUCAUGAUCUCGCUCUCUAGAUCCCUCUCUUUCUUUGGCUAUACUAUGGAUGGUUUGGGAUUUAAAGAGGGAUUUUGCUCAAGUUCUUUCUUCUAUUUAUGGAAUUUUAGUUUGAUCAUUUGGAGAGGGUAUAUUUAACUAGAGUUAUGGUAUUUGCUGACCAUGAACACGUUUUUCAUACGAAUCCAUAUAAGUUGAUGAUAGAGACACAUACAAUUACACAAAAGUGUUUCUUAUGAACUUUAAUUUAGUUUUUGUAGAUGUAGGCCAAAUAUAUUUUUUUGUAAAGAGUGCAAUACAAGAAUUUUCUAAAUAAUCACUCAACUUAGUACUACUUUCAUUCAAAUACGCUUAACUGUAAAAUUCUUAUGAAAACUAAUGCAUUGUGUUGGAAUGAUAGCAUGUCUCUAAAUUUUGAUUUUUGUAUAUAAUAAACUAAUAUAGUUUAAUCUAAUAGUUUGAUUUUUUUUUUUAUCUAUUAGGUCACUUAAUAUGUACUAUAUUUUUGCAUAUGAAAGCGGAGAUGAUGAAAGUGCUAAGAGGGUGUCCACCUAGUGGAGAUGUUAGGUGUACCUAUUGAAUCAAUAUAUCUUUUUCAAAAAAAAAAAAAAAUAUAUGUACUGUAUGUUUGCAAAAAAAUCUUAUUAAGUUACAAAAAUGUUUACCAAAUUUGGGAAGAAUUAUUUUUUCUUCUUUUGAAUUUGUUAGGCUAUGAAAUAUAUGCAAACAAAUACUA
rnacentral:lncRNA from 1 species